GAGUUUGAUCCUGGCUCAGGACGAAGCGAGCGGGGGGCUUAACACAUGCAAGUCGAACGAAGAGAGAUGGAAGCUUGCUUCUAUGGAUCUUAGUGGCGAACGGGUGAGUAACGCGUAAUCAACCUGCCCUUCAGAGGGGGGCAACAGUUGGAAACGACUGCUAAUACCGCAUACGAUCUAGCCUCGGCAUCGAGGAAAGAUGAAAGGUGGCCUCUAUGUAUAAGCUAUCACUGAAGGAGGGGAUUGCGUCUGAUUAGCUAGUUGGAGGGGUAACGGCCCACCAAGGCGAUGAUCAGUAGCCGGUCUGAGAGGAUGAACGGCCACAUUGGGACUGAGACACGGCCCAGACUCCUACGGGAGGCAGCAGUGGGAAAUCUUCCGCAAUGGACGAAAGUCUGACGGAGCAACGCCGCGUGAGUGAUGACGGCCUUCGGGUUGUAAAGCUCUGUUAAUCGGGACGAAAGGCCUUCUUGCGAAUAGUUAGAAGGAUUGACGGUACCGGAAUAGAAAGCCACGGCUAACUACGUGCCAGCAGCCGCGGUAAUACGUAGGUGGCAAGCGUUGUCCGGAAUUAUUGGGCGUAAAGCGCGCGCAGGCGGAUCAGUUAGUCUGUCUUAAAAGUUCGGGGCUUAACCCCGUGAUGGGAUGGAAACUGCUGAUCUAGAGUAUCGGAGAGGAAAGUGGAAUUCCUAGUGUAGCGGUGAAAUGCGUAGAUAUUUAGGAAGGACACCAGUGGCGAAGGCGACUUUCUGGACGAAAACUGACGCUGAGGCGCG
rnacentral:rRNA from 1 species